rnacentral:lncRNA from 1 species
ACAGCUUAUAGCCGUCUGUCAUGUUAUUAGCUUCCACUCUUCAGUUGUGAAAAUCACUGUAGUCUUCAUUAAUGUUUGACUGUGGCUGUGUUUGAAUGUUGCAGGGCCCCCCGGGACCUCCUGGCCCUCCUGGUCCCCCUGGACCUCAGGGACUUAUUGGAUUCGAAGGACCACAGCACCCCAGUGGUACACACCAGCUGCCUCAGGACUCCACUGGAGGAGACGAUGAUGGCUGUGAGGGCGGCUGUUCCCAAGGGUUGCCAGGGGUGCCCGGCAUAGUUGGUGCCAAGGGAGAAAAAGGAGACCAGGGCAAGCCUGGUGUAACCCCCUUGGACAGCUGUGACAGGUGUUUGGAGAGACUGCAGAGAGAACAGGCAACACAAGCAGUGGGUGAUCGAUCAUGCACCGGAUCCCCAGGAGUUCCAGGAAUGCCUGGAUCACCAGGAAUAAAAGGAGAGCCAGGAAUACCAGGAGAAAGAGGCCAGUCUGGAAUACCAGGAAAUAUGGGACCCCCCGGUUUCCCAGGUCCUCAGGGACCAUCUGGCCUACCUGGUCAACAGGGUGAGCGAGGGCAACCCGGACUACCGGCAAUGAAGGGGGAGCAGG